rnacentral:lncRNA from 1 species
GGCGGGUUGGUUUAGGUUUAAUGAAAUAUUUAUGUCCAAUUUUAGCCCACUCUACGACGUGGUAGGAUCGCGUUGACCUACUGAAUAAUACCAAUUUCUAUUUAACUGCCCACCAUGAUGUGGUAGUUUUCGUGUUUAGUCACUGUAAAUUGACAAUUGUCAAUUUUCCAAGUUAUGCAUCGCGAUGAAAAUCACGAUAGACUACUAGAAUUUAAUAAUUCUCAAUUCACACUUCUCCA